UACGUAGGGUGCAAGCGUUUGUCCGGAAUUAUUGGGCGUAAAGCGCGUGUAGGCGGGUCGGAAAGUCGGGCGUGAAAGCCCCAGGCUCAACCUGGGAACUGCACUCGAAACUUCCGGUCUAGAGUGGUGGAGAGGGAAGUGGAAUUCCUGGUGUAGAGGUGAAAUUCGUAGAUAUCAGGAGGAACACCGGUGGCGAAGGCGGCAUCCUGGACCAACACUGACGCUGAGGAGCGAAAGCCAGGGGAGCAAACGGG
rnacentral:rRNA from 1 species